GGGGAUUUAGCUCAGCGGUAGAGCGCUUGCCUAGGAAGCGCAAGGCCCUGGGUUCGAUCCCCAGCUCCG
rfam:Rattus norvegicus chromosome 19, whole genome shotgun sequence.